GCAAAGGAGGUGAAAAAAAAAUGCAACAUUGAAAAAUGAAGAGAAAACGAGCUUCAAGGGCAAAAUUGUUAUUCACUCACAGAUUUGGGAGAAGAGAGAGGUAAUUUCACCGGCGAAAUACUGAAAGCUUUUGAGAUCGAAGGGAAGAGGUAAGUUUUUCGGGUGAAAGACUGAAGAAGAGAAGUGACCGAGAAUCAAAAGAAUUAGCUAUAAUUGCCAAAUGGUGACGGUAGUUCGAGACGGGCUUAACAAUAACAGUUAAUGGUUAAAAUAGCAUGAAUUGGCCAAUUUUCUGACUUAAUAUUUGCAAAAAUAGCCAGCUGCAAAGUACAUGAGAACUAGCUACUAUCUAAUGCAAAAAAAUCUGAACAAAAUAUUAUUAUCUUAAACUACUGUAUA
rnacentral:lncRNA from 1 species